UAACGUUCGGAAACGGACGCUAAUACCGCAUACGUCCUACGGGGAGAAAGCGGGGAUCUUCGGACCUCGCGCCAUUAGAUGAGCCUAGGUCGGAUUAGCUAGUUGGUGAGGUAAUGCUCACCAAGGCGACGAUCCGUAACUGGUCUGAGAGGAUGAUCAGUCACACUGGAACUGAGACACGGCCCAGACUCCUACGGGAGGCAGCAGUGGGGAAUUUUGGACAAUGGGCGCAAGCCUGAUCCAGCAAUGCCGCGUGCAGGAUGAAGGCCUUCGGGUUGUAAACUGCUUUUGUACGGAACGAAACGGUGAGCUCUAAUACAGUUUGCUAAUGACGGUACCGUAAGAAUAAGCACCGGCUAACUACGUG
rnacentral:rRNA from 1 species